AUUUUGAAUCGAUUACUGUCCAAGAUCGGCGAUUCACGAUUCAAAAAUCAUGUUUCAAGAUUGAUGCAUAUGAAUCGACAGGGUUUGUAAUCGAUGCAUCGAGAAAACGAAUGAAUCGUUAUACCCCUAAACUGCACCUGGGGGUUGUUCCAUAAAAGACGCUUAGAAAAGCUGGGAUUAAACUCCAAAACCGGACUUGAAUGAGCCUAAAAAAUAAGUUGGGGCUAAAGUGGUUCCAUAAAAGUGAUGCCAAAUUCUGUGUGCUUGCUGGAUCCACCAGACAUUAUGCUGAACCCUGCUGAAGGCCCAUAUACAGGAGGAUGAGGAGACUGUGUCAGUAUGUUCAAGGAGGUAGGCACAGAUUUGCACAUUAUAUAUUUAAAAGCCUACCUGUGAGGUGCUAAAUAGUGUGUAUUUCCAUUAUUAUUAUGAUUAUGUAUGAUUCAAUGUCCCAGUCUUCCUCUACAAUCCUUGGUUGCCUCUCUCUCCUCAGACAGGCAAUGUUAUGUAGCACAAGACAUGCAACUACAAUGUCACUCUGAGGAAAUUUAGGCACUGAAACCCUGACUUGAUG